GGGCCUUCACCUAUGAUCUCGAGGGUCGCCUUGUCACUUCUUGGGCGUUUAUCACACAGGAGAUGGCUGAACUUGGACCCUCCUUGAUCCACGACUUGUGUGUCUCUAAAAACGGACAAGACUUUUACCUGGCAGAUCUUGACCAGCAGCGAGUGUACAAAUAUACAACCAACUGGGAGGCUGUCCUGGGAGGGGCCUAAUGUCUUGAUUGGCAGGUCGAUGUGAGCAUUCCAUCAACCGCUAGCACCAACUUGACUAAAUGUUACCAUGCUUGAUUACAAACAUGAACUUUGCACCAAGUGACAAACAAUAUGAAUAUCAAAUAACGAAGAUUUUGUAAUUCAAAAAAUUAAAUGGCUAACCCAGAGUUGUCCAUUUUGUUUAAUUUAAAAUUGUGUUACAUCAACUUGGAACUUAUAUUGUAGACCUAUAAGUCAGAAUUGAAUUAUUGUUAAUAAGACCAAUACAUUAAAUAUAUAACUAUUACAACGGAUAUAGGAAUAUUACUAUUGUUACUACCAACACUAGCUGGGACUAUAAGUUGAACUAGUCGACACAAACUAUGAGUUGACUUUCUUUAGCUCAAGCUGCAACAGGCCAAACCUAUUUAUUUUGGUAUAACGCUGAUCUAUGACAGAUGUAGUGUAUUGUUGAUUUAGACAAAAAAAGUAUAUUCUACAUUUAAAUGUUCUAUAAGCCUACAGCGGACACUUUUAGAGUUUAUAUUGGUGUAGCAUGUAUGUAGUUAUGGUGUUAGCAAACUGAGCUACACUUAUAAAAUAAUUUGAACAAAAGUCUUAGUCACUACAUUGGUGCAGUGUUAGGUCAGAUGUUGUUAACAAAAUAUUGAAUGUUGUUUUGUUAGUCAUGUGAUCAUGUUAAUAUCAUAUGUUAUUGUUGUUGUUUUUCCCCCCAGCAAUCCAAAUAUCAUAUGUUUUGAUUUGUUUCGCCCCAUAAAGCCACAUCAAGAAUGUUAAUUUACCUUUUAUGUCAAAAGAAGUUAGUGAUAUUUUUGUUUGAGAUAUUUUAUUAAAAGUAAAUUAAAAUUCAUUCUUUUGAUCGUU
rnacentral:sRNA from 1 species